GACCUGGUGGUGAAAGGUAUCCCGUCCACAUUGUAUACCACUCCUCUCCUUCGGUGUAUGUGGAAGUCUCUGGUUCGAAUCCAGGCUAGGUCG